rnacentral:rRNA from 1 species
GAUGAACGCUGGCGGCGUGCUUAACACAUGCAAGUCGAACGAAGCACUUUAUUUGAUUUCCUUCGGGACUGAUUAUUUUGUGACUGAGUGGCGGACGGGUGAGUAACGCGUGGGUAACCUGCCUUGUACAGGGGGAUAACAGUUGGAAACGGCUGCUAAUACCGCAUAAGCGCACAGCAUCGCAUGAUGCAGUGUGCAAAGCUCCGGUGGUAUAAGAUGGACCCGCGUUGGAUUAGCUAGUUGGUGAGGUAACGGCCCACCAAGGCGACGAUCCAUAGCCGACCGGAGAGGGUGACCGGCCACAUUGGGACUGAGACACGGCCCAAACCCCUACGGGAGGCAGCAGUGGGGAAUAUUGCACAAUGGGCGAAAGCCUGAUGCAGCGACGCCGCGUGAGCGAAGAAGUAUUUCGGUAUGUAAAGCUCUAUCAGCAGGGAAGAUAAUGACGGUACCUGACUAAGAAGCACCGGCUAAAUACGUG